AGUUGAAGUGUUUUAGAGACAAUAUCAUUAUAAACCAGCUUAGUAUUAGUCAUCUGUGUCAACUCUGUAAAUAAAUUACGUUGUAGAUUUGGAACGUUUCAUACAUCGUUAUCACCGAUUUCAGUUUGUGUAUAUCCGAGAAGUAAUGAAAUGGGGUUUAAAAAGGCCUACUACGGAGUAUAUUAUAUUCGAUGUUAAUUGGAAUCCCAAAGACCAAAUCUAAGUUUGUAGGCCUUCUGAAUAUACGUGAAAAUCCGGGCGAAUACCUUAAGACUAUCCUUGUGUUUCAAUUGUGGUGGAGAUCUGUAUUGCAAGGAUGUGUGAGACGAUGGGUAUACAUUUUAUUUAUACUUUUAUUAACAAUGCGUUUGGUGUAUCAUUCUGUCAUCUGUGUGAAUUCCGGAUAAAUCGCUCCCCAUAUCGGAUGUUAUAUAUGUAGUAUCUUUAAAGGAGUUAUAACUGUUGUCUUGUUACAAAAAGUAAGAUAUUCUGUGCUGUUAUUUGCAAUACACAUUUUCGCCUGAAAGUGAUAUUAAUUACGAAUCUACUAUGGAUACAAACGUGUAACUUACGUAAAUUAAUGGGUGAUAAAUAUUAUUAAACAAGAAGUGGUUAAUUAUAAAUAUGAUGAACGUUGGCCAAGCCUAUUAUUAAACACGUGACCUUGCAGUUUUAUGACCUUAUCUGUCACCAAGACGAAGUUCCUGGCUGUCACGAAGACAUGAAUCAUGUUACGACCAAAGACCAAACCGAGCUGUUGACACAACAACUAUAUAGAAUACGUGUAUCCUUUGAAUAAUAUAAUAUGUGAUUAUCUCUAUUUACAAUGAUAAUAUGUUUUUGUUUUGGAGGGGGGGGGGGGGUAAUCAUCCGUGUUCUUAUUAUGAAAUGAUUAAAACACGUAAGUAUGUCAUUAAAAAAAUUUUCUACGUCUUAUAUCAUAAUAUAAGGUAAGUCUAUUCAUUGUCAUUUAUCAAUUCGGGGCUCUUAACACGGUGGAGAAUACUCAAGUAAGUGGAAAUCUUAUCUUCGAACUAAUGACAAUAAUAUUUUAAUUUCUUUAUUACAGUUAUAAGAACAAAUGUGCCGUUAAAUUUUAACUAUUUUCCAUUUUAGCUAUUAUGUAAUUUGAACGAAGCCAAUAUUAUAUGUAAUCUUAACUCGAACUAAUGACAAUAUUUUAAUUUUUUUGUUACAGUUAUAAGAACAAUGUAUCUUUAAAUUUCAACUAUUUUUCAUUUUAGCUAUAAUGUAAUUUGAAAGAAAAUUUGCUGAAGCCGAAACUGUAUGUAAUUUAAAUUAAAAAUGAAACAAAAUUUGUUAUAUCGUGUAUUAUAUCACAAUUUUAGAUUUUGGACUUGAUUACAUUUUAUAUCUGAACUUAAAAUAUUGAAUGACAUUUAAAAAAAACCUAACGAAAACACUAUCAGUUUCUUCAGUAAAUUUUAAGCUCACAGACAGAUUAACGAUGGCUUCUUUUUUUUGCUUGCAGAAAAUGGUCUAAAGGAAGUUAAAAUCCAAUUUGUUUUUCAAAAGAAUAGAAGAUGAUAUAAAUCUAAUUUAUUUUAAUUCUCUCAUUUUUAUUAAUAUUCACAGUUACAAGACCCGUAAAUCCACCAAGGAAGACUAUAACGCCAAUAGCAUCUCAGGUGACAACAACAGCGUCUCCGAUAACGUCCAUACCUAGUGUAACUGUUGAUCGGUUUUUCCAUGGUAUCGGUGUAGGUUUAGUUGCAGGAGUUCUAAUAACAGCUGGUAUAGCAUCAAUAGUUUUCUGCAUCAUUCUAAAACGUAGAAAACAGACGGUUCAAGAAGUUGAAGUGAAUUCAUCGUAUACGUACCCCAUCUUUAUAGCUCCCCAACCUCCAGUGGGCCCAGCAGCCAACGGGAAUGUACAAAUACCACCGGAAGGUCAUUAUGAAGCUUUAGGAAACCAAGAUCCACAGAUGCCACCAGAAUACGAACAAUUAAAAUUAUACGAAAAUACAAAAUCAUAAAAAAUUUAUAUUUUAAUAAUAACAAUCGUGUAUGUGACGUUAUUGUUAUCAAACUUUCGAUGUAAAUUUAAUGAUUACCAUAAAGUAAAGCACAUGUUCCUGAAACGAUGAUGGCACCGCAGAUUCAAAUAAUGAAUACUGAUCAGCGCUUCGGGAGCCUAUGCUUUUAUUUUAUCUCAUAGUGAAUUUAGACAACAGGGCUCUUCUUAACUAACAAAAAUAAUCACAUCAAUUAAGACAUUUCUAAGAACUGCUAAAAUAACUGCUAAAUCACAUAUAGCAACAGCAAAAUCCGAGCACUGACGGGUAAAAAAUAUCAGCAUUAGACGAGCUAUGAAAAGAACUGUUAACACAUUAACGCAGAAAUAUUGCUUUAUAAAUCUCAUGCUGUAACUACAAACCACACUCGGGAAAUUUAAGUCUUAACUUUUCUUUUGAAAGUGUUACAAAUACCUGAACGGAAUCCAAUAUUUAAAUUGAUUUCAGUAUGUGGGCGUAAAUACAUGGCUGCCAUUAUUCUCAAUGGAUUAAUAGUUUAGUUAUAUACACAGACAAUAACUGAACGCGAUUCGUUUAAACAGGGAGUGUUCUAAACAUUUGUAAACUGAACGAAUAUAGGGUUUAACGUUGGUUCCAUUGGCAUUUGGUAUUUAGAUCUUUAAGAUUAAAGAAGUCCUCCCAGUUAUGAAUGGUUAAUUCUGCGUAAACGACUUUUAUAACCCGUUAAAUUCUAGUUCUGUGCCACUCUUUGAAUCUCUGUGAAAACUAUCUUACUAAAACAAUAUAUCACGCGUUAAUUACGAUUGCGGAAAAUCGCGUUUCUAUCGCCUCAUUAUUUUGAGCUGAUACUCAGGGAAAACGGGCAUUGUUUUCACAUGUUUACGUUCGACAUACAUAUUUAAACACAUGUCUACUUUAUGAAAUCUGGGACGACUCCUUUAAAAUUGCAUAUACAGUAAAUAACGUUAUCAUUUUCUGUAUUGCACUAAGUUAGUUAAUCCACAAUUAUUAAGUCAUAAUUAUUUAUAUUAAAUAUAUUAAUGCAUAUUAUAUACUUUUAAAUUUCGAUUUGAUCUGCAUGGCUGUAUUUAUAAUUUUUUAAUGAAUUCUAAAAUUUUAUUUGAGCUUAAUUUUUAAGAAAAUGGCAGCUUUAUAUAUUGGUUUACCGCCAAUAAGAUGUCUGCACAGGGCUUUGUAGUGGUGCACGUGAUACCAAUAUUAAUAUAUCUAGACAACGGAAACCCUUACAUAACGGACUUUAGGGUGAGAUAACCCUUUAACAUGUAGUUUGAAUACUUAGCAAUUAAAUAUAUUUAUUAUACCGUAUAAUUUUCCUCUUAUUGCACAGAAUAUUAAUCUCUAUCAAUGGUGGCUUGAUUAUGUAAACUAUGUAUAUUUUAACCUGUUAUUAUUGAUAUAUAAUAUAUUUUAUAGUAAUGUUUGAAUAUGGGUUGUCUGCCUGUUAUAUUAUAUUGACAUAUUGUAUAUGAUUUUUAUAUCUUCGCCAAUCUAAAUAAAAUUAUAUCUAUUACAA